GGAGAGUUGGCUCAGAGGUUAAGAGCUCUGCCUGCUCUUCCAGAGAUCCUGAGUUCAAUUCCCAGCAACCCCA
rnacentral:tRNA from 1 species